UGGGGAAUAUUGGACAAUGGGCGAAAGCCUGAUCCAGCCAUGCCGCGUGUGUGAAGAAGGUCUUCGGAUUGUAAAGCACUAUAAGUUGGGAGGAAGGGCAGUAAGCGAAUACCUUGCUGUUUUGAUGUUACCGACAGAAUAAGCACCGGCUAACUCUGUGCCAGCAGCCGCGGUAAUACAGAGGGUGCAAGCGUUAAUCGGAAUUACUGGGCGUAAAGCGCGCGUAGGUGGUUCGUUAAGUUGAAUGUGAAAGCCCCGGGCUCAACCUGGGAACUGCAUCCAAAACUGGCGAGCUAGAGUAGGGCAGAGGGUGGUGGAAUUUCCUGUGUAGCGGUGAAAUGCGUAGAUAUAGGAAGGAACACCAGUGGCGAAGGCGACCACCUGGGCUCAUACUGACACUGAGGUGCGAAAGCGUGGGGAGCAAACAGG
rnacentral:rRNA from 1 species